rnacentral:rRNA from 1 species
AGUGAACGCUGGCGGUAGGCCUAACACAUGCAAGUCGAACGGCAGCACAGUAAGAGCUUGCUCUUACGGGUGGCGAGUGGCGGACGGGUGAGGAAUACAUCGGAAUCUACUUUUUCGUGGGGGAUAACGUAGGGAAACUUACGCUAAUACUGCAUACGACCUACGGGUGAAAGCAGGGGAUCUUCGGACCUUGCGCGAUUGAAUGAGCCGAUGUCGGAUUAGCUAGUUGGCGGGGUAAAGGCCCACCAAGGCGACGAUCCGUAGCUGGUCUGAGAGGAUGAUCAGCCACACUGGAACUGAGACACGGUCCAGACUCCUACGGGAGGCAGCAGUGGGGAAUAUUGGACAAUGGGCGCAAGCCUGAUCCAGCCAUACCGCGUGGGUGAAGAAGGCCUUCGGGUUGUAAAGCCCUUUUGUUGGGAAAGAAAAGCAGCAGGUUAAUACCCCGCUGUUCUGACGGUACCCAAUGAAUAAGCACCGGCUAACUUCGUG